GUCUAUGGCCAUGCUGCCUUGAACAAGCCCAAUCUUGUCUGAUCUUGGAAGCUAAGCAGGGUUGGCCCUGGUUAAUACUUGGAUGGGAGACUUCCUGAAAAGGCCAGGUGCUGUAGGCG
rnacentral:rRNA from 1 species